AUUCAGAUGAAGAGUCCCAAAUAGGACGAAACCCACUUCCUAGAU
rnacentral:hammerhead_ribozyme from 1 species